AUACAUUAAUCCAUUAUAUUAUACACAGACUAGCUCACACUAGAGAUAGUCUAUAAAUAUAUGGGAGCGGUAGUACUGUAGUAUAGAUUGGCACCAAUAUCAUAUUAUAUAAUAUCAAGUACUUACUCUGGACAUGAAGGCCAUUCUACUACUUUUCUGCCUUCUCUUGGCUUCCUUUAUUCUGGUUCCUUCUUCGGUUCUAGCUCGAGCAUUAGCUGGCAGACAGCUAGACGAGCUAGCAGAACCCCCAACGAAGACGUCUCCGGUUGUAACUAGGCCAUCGCGUCCCGCUUGCGACCGCUCGCGUGGACAACCAUAUCUACCUAAUUGUUACCAGCCGCCGCGGACCCUGAAACCACCAACUUGUACUGGUCCGUACAAGCGUAAUUGCACCCCGGCCCCUUGAGAUGAGAAGCAUGCAGUGACAUAUAUGCACCAUGCAUAUAUAAAGGUUCAGCAAUAUUAAUUAUAUAUAUGACAUCACACUACCAGUUACCUUGUACGACGUCUUUCUAAUGGAAGUCGAUCGAACAGCGAAGGUUUUUAUAAGAAUAAAGUUAGUAAGUAAUUUUGAGUAAUAUAUUAGUAUUUAUGAUCUCUCCCUGUGUUCGAUCUGCAAUAUAUGUGUGUACACUACGGUUUGAUGUAAUUUUAAGAUGUUAAAUAAAAGAGCCGACUGAAGUAUGUACUCAGUCCGCUAAUUAAUGACUUAUUA